CGUCAGAUUUCGUCCGCAUCAAAAACUGUAUCUACCGCAUCAAUUUCGUCCGAUCCGGCCUCUUCGCCGCCGUCAGAUCCGGCGCCAACAACUGCAUCUACAACAUCUCUUCCGUCCGAUCCGGCCUCUUCGCCGCCGUCCGACCCUCUCUCGUUGACGCAGUCAGUUCCGGCCUCUCCGCCGCCGUCAGAUCCGGCGUCAACAACUGCAUCUAUUGCAUCCAUUCUGUGCGAUCCGGCCUCUUCUCCGCCAUCAAAUACGG
rnacentral:lncRNA from 1 species